AUUGAACGCUGGCGGCAUGCUUUACACAUGCAAGUCGAACGGUAACAGGGUGCUUGCACCGCUGACGAGUGGCGAACGGGUGAGUAAUGCGUCGGAACGUGCCGAGUAGUGGGGGAUAACGCAGCGAAAGUUGUGCUAAUACCGCAUACGUACUGAGGUAGAAAGUGGGGGACCUUCGGGCCUCACGCUAUUCGAGCGGCCGACGUCUGAUUAGCUAGUAGGUGAGGUAAAGGCUCACCUAGGCGACGGUCAGUAGCGGGUCUGGGAGGAUGCGCCGCCACACUGGGACUGGGACACGGCCCAGACUCGUACGGGAGGCAGCAGUGGGGAAUUUUGGACAAUGGGAGAAAGCCUUAUCCAGCCAUGCCGCGUGUCUGAAGAAGGCCUUCGGGUUGUAAAGGACUUUUGUCGGGGAGGAAAUCCCCAGCGCUAAUACCGCUGGGUGAUGACAGUACCUGAAGAAUAAGCACCGGCUAACUACGUGCCAGCCGCCGCGGUAACAC
rnacentral:rRNA from 1 species